rnacentral:rRNA from 1 species
UUGAGCGAUUUACUUCGGUAAAGAGCGGCGGACGGGUGAGUAACGCGUGGGUAACCUACCCUGUACACACGGAUAACAUACCGAAAGGUAUGCUAAUACGGGAUAAUAUAUUUGAGAGGCAUCUCUUGAAUAUCAAAGGUGAGCCAGUACAGGAUGGACCCGCGUCUGAUUAGUUAGUUGGUAAGGUAACGGCUUACCAAGGCGACGAUCAGUAGCCGACCUGAGAGGGUGAUCGGCCACAUUGGAACUGAGACACGGUCCAAACUCCUACGGGAGGCAGCAGUGGGGAAUAUUGCACAAU